rnacentral:rRNA from 1 species
GAUGAACGCUGGCGGCGUGCCUAAUACAUGCAAGUCGAGCGAACGGACGAGAAGCUUGCUUCUCUGAUGUUAGCGGCGGACGGGUGAGUAACACGUGGAUAACCUAGCUAUAAGACUGGGAUAACUUCGGGAAACCGGAGCUAAUACCGGAUAAUAUUUUGAACCGCAAGGUUCAAAAGUGAAAGACGGACUGGCUGUCACUUAUAGAUGGAUCCGCUCGGCAUUAGCUAGUUGGUAAGGUAACGGCUUACCAAGGCAACGAUGCAUAGCCGACCUGAGAGGGUGAUCGGCCACACUGGGACUGAGACACGGUCCAGACUCCUACGGGAGGCAGCAGUAGGGAAUCUUCCGCAAUGGGCGAAAGCCUGACGGAGCAACGCCGCGUGAGUGAUGAAGGUCUUCGGAUCGUAAAACUCUGUUAUUAGGGAAGAACAUAUGUGUAAGUAACUGUGCACAUCUUGACGGUACCUAAUCAGAAAGCCACGGCUAACUACGUG